rnacentral:rRNA from 1 species
GAUGAACGCUGGCGGCGUGCCUAAUACAUGCAAGUCGAGCGAAUGGAUUAAGAGCUUGCUCUUAUGAAGUUAGCGGCGGACGGGUGAGUAACACGUGGGUAACCUGCCCAUAAGACUGGGAUAACUCCGGGAAACCGGGGCUAAUACCGGAUAACAUUUUGAACAGCAUGGUUCGAAAUUGAAAGGCGGCUUCGGCUGUCACUUAUGGAUGGACCCGCGUCGGAUUCGCUAGUUGGUGAGGUAACGGCUCACCAAGGCAACGAUGCGUAGCCGGCCUGGGAAGGUGGUCGGCCACACUGGGACUGAGACACGGCCCAGACUCCUACGGGAGGCAGCAGUAGGGAAUCUUCCGCAAUGGACGAAAGUCUGACGGAGCAACGCCGCGUGAGUGAUGAAGGCUUUCGGGUGGUAAAACUCUGUUGUUAGGGAAGAACAAGUGCUAGUUGAAUAAGCUGGCACCUUGACGGUACCUAACCAGAAAGCCACGGCUAACUACGUGCCAGCCGCCGCAGUAA